rnacentral:lncRNA from 1 species
GUGACGGUGGAAGGAGUGUUGGCAUGAGGGAAGUAUUCUUCACUUUUGAAGAAUUCUGAAGGAUUGGGAAUAGUUUUUAGUGGUUGAUUCUGAUUGUGAGUAUCAACAGAUUUGGGAUUUGAAUUCGAAGCCUCUUUUUUGCUAGAGCUCGGAUUAGGAAGAACAAUGGUAGUGGGGGCUAUGCGAAGUGGAGAAUUUUGAUUAGUAUUCUGAGAAGCCAUUGUUAAUUAGUUGCAGAGAGAAAUUUGGAGAAGAAGAGGAGUAAGGAAUAUCCGAAUUUCGAAUUGAGUUGGUAAAACUGUCAGAUUUGGGAGAAAGCAGCUUUUAUACUAGAGUUCUCUUCAACUUUUCACAAGGUUCAGGGGUGGCUCAUUUAAUGCCAACGGUGAUUGUGAAGUUAAAGAAGUAGCGUGCGGUUUUAGUCUUCAUUGUUAACCGGAGUGGGCUUCUCUUUUGGGCCUCGGUAAGUUGUAUCUUGGGCCUUUGUUGAUCUCAUUAUAAUUCCUUUUAUUCUGGACCGAUUCCACUUAUACUCUUUCAUUAAACCUCCUGUUUAAUAAAAGACUGGGGGGCAAUGUUGGGCCAUGAUACUUUUCCUUAUUGGGCCAGACUUAAUGGGCUCCUCCCUGGGGUUAUGAUUAUUCUUGCCCUAUUGGUCCGGAUGCAGUGGGCCGAAUUACUAGAUGAGUAUGGUUCCACUUGGG